rnacentral:rRNA from 1 species
CCGGCGACCGGUGCACGGGUGAGUAACACGUAUGCAACCUGCCCUCUUCAGGGGGACAACCUUCCGAAAGGGAGGCUAAUCCCGCGUAUAUCGGUUUCGGGCAUCCGAGAUCGAGGAAAGAUUCAUCGGAAGAGGAUGGGCAUGCGGCGCAUUAGCUAGACGGCGGGGUAACGGCCCACCGUGGCGACGAUGCGUAGGGGUUCUGAGAGGAAGGUCCCCCACACUGGUACUGAGACACGGACCAGACUCCUACGGAAGGCAGCAG